ACCUGGCUGGCUCAGUUGGUAGAGCAUGUGGCUCUUGAUCUCAUGAUUGUAAGUUCGAGCCCCACGUUGGGUG
rnacentral:tRNA from 1 species